GACGAACGCUGGCGGCGUGCUUAACACAUGCAAGUCGAGCGGAGCGGCGAACGGGUGAGUAACGCGUGAGUAACUGCCCCCCUCUCUGGGAUAACAGUUGGAAACGGCUGCUAAUACCGGAUAGUGGGGGAUGACUCGCGUCCUAUCAGCUUGUUGGUGGGGUAGUGACCUACCAAGGCGAAGAAGGGUAGCCGGCCUGAGAGGGCGACCGGCCACAGUGGGCUGAGAUACGGCGCAAACGCCAACGUGCGGCAGCAGUUGGGAGUAUUGCCCAAUGGGGGAACCGCUGAUGCAGCAAUGUCGCGUGCGGGAUGACGGGGUUCGGGUGGUAAACCGCGUUCAGCCAUGACGCGGUAGUGGCAGAAGAAGCACCGGCUAACUACGUGCCAGCAGCCGCGGUAAUAC
rnacentral:rRNA from 1 species